rnacentral:rRNA from 1 species
GACGAACGCUGGCGGCGUGCUUAACACAUGCAAGUCGAACGGAAAGGCCCUGCUUGCAGGGUACUCGAGUGGCGAACGGGUGAGUAACACGUGGGUGAUCUGCCCUGCACUUCGGGAUAAGCCUGGGAAACUGGGUCUAAUACCGGAUAUGACCUUCCAUGUAGUGUGGGGGGUGGAAAGAUUUAUCGGUGUGGGAUGAGCCCGCGGCCUAUCAGCUUGUUGGUGGGGUAAUGGCCUACCAAGGCGUCGACGGGUAGCCGGCCUGAGAGGGUGGACGGCCACAUUGGGACUGAGAUACGGCCCAGACUCCUACGGGAGGCAGCAGUGGGAAUAUUGCACAAUGGGCGGAAGCCUGAUGCAGCGACGCCGCGUGGGGGAUGACGGCCUUCGGGUUGUAAACCUCUUUCGACAGGGACGAAGCUUCGGUGACGGUACCUGUAUAAGAAGCACCGGCUAACUACGUG